UCAUCCCUUCAGAAGCAGCGGCUCUCCCGAGGGAAGGCCCGAUCCGCUUUCCAAGGCUGCUGGGUCUGUCUCUUGGCCGCGGGGCCAGCUCUCUGUUACCGGUUCAGAGCCGGCGCUGAGGGAGCGUCCCACUGCAUUGGAAGUUGACUCCAGCUCCCUGGUUCCCAGUGUACCAGCUGCACCGGCACACCUCGUGCACCGGCACCUGUACACUAGCUGUCCGGUCCCCUGGCCAAGAGGAGGGCUAGCGUGGAAAGGACGGAGCCCCAGCUCUGCAGACACACAGCCUUGAUUGACAGCCGAGCCCCGAGCCUCAGUUUCCUCACCAGAGACGUGAGUGUUGACUUUAGCACAUAUUGUGUGCAAACAAAUGACAAGUGCCUCCAUCUCCGCCUCUGGCACCAGUAACCCCUGCUGGGGCCCACAGUGGAGAAGAAGACUAAGAGCCUGAGAGAGAGUGGAUGCCUGAUGCUGAGAACAGUUCAGUGCUCAGGGCCAACAGCCCAAUAGAAAAUCCUCGCUCUGGCUCUACUCUGUAAAUGUGUGCCUAAUAAUUCACAAAAAGAAAAGAAAUAGAAAAACAAUACUUUGCCUUGUAAGCGCAAGGACCCGAGUUCAAUCCCUGGUACCAAAAAAAAAAAAUUAAAAAACAAAAACAAAAACAAUACUUCAAGCAAUCCAAAGGUGGGAACUGAAGAAAAAAAGCUUUGUUUGUUUGAAUAAUCAUCUUCCAAAUGAUGCUGAGGUUUUGAAAGGCCUGCUCAUUUGUACAGCAGAUAAGCAACAUCGGGGCGUCCAGUUAUUUGGAAAUGACACCAUCAAACUGAUCUAUAUUAAGUGCAGGAAGAAUAGAGUUCCUCUGUCUCCUCUUCCUGAUCCCCUAGGCCCGUAAAGUCAAGACCCAGCUGGGGUUUCUUUUGAGGGAGCGAGCAUUUAAAGAAAGGGCGAGAGACAAUGAGCUGCAGGGUUCUGCUCUGGCCCUCUACAGACGCUGGCUUCCUCUCCCUGGGUCUCAGUUUUUCUAGCUGCAGAACGGGAGCCCUGUGGGGACAGAAGAGACGUGUGGCAUAAGGAGCGUUCAUUUUCUCCCUUCUGUGAGGCCAUAUCAGAGAAAACUCAGGGCCCAAGCUGCCCCACCCACCCCUUUCUUCCUGCCUUAUGCAGGGUAAGUCAAGGGGGGAUGGACCACAGCUGGGACCCCAGUGCUGACUCAUGAGCCAGGCUCAGCAAAUAGGAAGCAAAACUUCAUCAGGCUUCUCUGCCCCCACCCCCUUCCCUGGGGCUACAGUGGCUGCUUCUGUUGACAAGUAUUGUGUGUCCAAGCUCUUUUCCACUGAGGAAGCCUUUGUUAGGAAGAGGGGACAUAGGGGCAUAACUUAGGAGUCUGGGCCAGAACAUGGGGAAAUAGCCGGGUGGCCCCGUUUCUGGAAAUGAACAGGGCUAAAGCAAAGAAAGCCACGAGCAUCAGCUGGGGGACCUUCCUAGGAAGGCAAGUCCUGAGUUUCCCCAUCUCUCGCCUUGGGACUUGGUGCAGAGAGAAUGGCUUGCGUGUUUCUCUGGCUGAUGGUCUCCCAACAUUUAUCCAAUCCUCAGUUCCAAGUCCAAGAGCCUGAGGAGGGGGAUACAAGAUGCUGGUGAUUGGUGGAGCCAGUGACCAAUCAGAGGACACAGCUUGUGCAAGAGGAAGCCUGAAGAGCACGUGAGAGGGAUGGAGAAGUGUCCCUGGGUGAAUGAGCAGGGUCACCAGAGAGGACUAGGGGAUUCCCAGGAGGAAGGCCCCAGAGGGUGCUGUGGAAGAUGUGGUCCAAGCCAAGCUGCCACAGGAGAGGAGAGAGGAAGAAGGAUCCUGGCUGGGAGUGGGCAUCCCAGGCAGGAGCAGGAAGAGCUGGAGCACCUAGAACCCACAGAAGCCGGGAAGGUGGAUGCAGAGGUAUGUAGCACCAGGAUUGCUACAGCAAUGGUGAGGAAGGUGGACUGACAGGCUGCAGGCUGGGCAGACCCCAGACCUCACUCGGAAGAGGAUGGCAGUCCCAGGCCCCAACUUGCGCUCCUGUGAACACAGACAAAGCCCUAGAGAUUUAGAGAUGCAGGAGCUCUGACCAGUCUCCAACCCAGCACUCUGCCUCCAUGUGCAGUUAGGUAAACUGAGGUCCAGAGUGGAUAAGGAACUCACUGCUGGUCACACCGCCAGUUUCGAGCAGGGCCAGAUCCCCAACUUCAAAUCUGAGACACCUGCUCUGUCCUCUGCAAAAGUUCAACUUUCACCAAGCACCAGGUCCCUUUCCCAGCCUCCUCACCGGUUCAAAGUUGAGCUGCUGCAUCGCCCCACCUCAGGGGAAGAAGUGUCUGCAGCAAGAGCCAACUGCUCCAUGAGAGGUUUUGUGUGUGACCGCGGGCCAAAGCACUGGGAGCAGCAGGUGGCGGUCAUGUGUUGUGUGUCAGCUGCCAUCCUAAGCACUUUACAGGGUUUGCCACCACCUGGAGGAGGUGAGGGAUCCCAAACACACCCAGAGGGUCCUUGCCCUGAUGUGAGCAGUUACCAGCAGGGCUCCGAAAUACUCAGGCGAAGAGCAAGGGACUGGACCCUGCUCAGUGAAAGAUGCCAUCACCCAUCUAGACAACCAGCCAGCAUCUGGGGCCACCCUGGUCACCUCUCACACACCACAUCUGUCACCUCCACGCCCUGUACAGUCAAUCCCAAAGGAUCUUCCAAAUACAGCUACCUCUCUCUGUCUCAAAUGGGCCCCACCCCUUGAGGCCACCAGCAUCCUCGCUCUGCACACUGCCAUAGUCUUGCCCUAACACGUAUCUUCCCUGCUCUCUGGCCCCUGGAAACUUCUCCAGUCACAUGUGAUGUGGUCCUCUCUGCUGUCAGACCUCCAAAGGCUCUGUUGGCCUUGGGAUAAAGGUAAACUGCCUGCUGCUUACCCUCCUGCCUCCACAGCCCUCCAGCCUAGCUCCUUGGAGGCUCCGUGCUCACCCUGCCUCAGGACCUUUGCACAGGCUGAUCCCCCUGUUCUCAAGGCUCUAUCCUCCUUCCUCAUCCAGCCAAUUUCUGUUAUUUCAGGUGUCAUCCUUUCAGUCCACCCUUCCUAAAGCCUGAUCUGGCCCCUACUGUGGCCACAUCCUCCAUCCAUCUCCCGCUGCCUACCUAGUAUUCUCACUGUUGGGUUUCACCUGUUUCUGUGUGAUUUGCAGAUUACCAUCUACUUCCCCCCAAGCCUGUGAGCUCUCCAGGGAACAGGGACUGCAUCUGAGAUCUUUUCCUUGUGUCCCCCAGGGCCUGUCUUGUGUGGUACACACAAGUGGGUCCUCAAUAAAUAUUAAAUGAAUAAUCAGAUGCAUGGGAGCUAGAGAAGAAUGGGACCUGGGAAAUGUGGGGAGCCAAGCAUUUCUCACAACAAUCGUUCCAGGGGAAAACUUGAGCCAUGCUUGGAAGCUCUGAGUCCAACAGCAGCAUGAAGGUCACCAGGCCCCAUGGUCGGAUAGGGAUGGGAAGAAGAGUCACCUUCCUGUCCCCUUAAGCCUUGAAAAGACACUGAACUGGAAAUGCCCAUCACAGCUGACACUUAUUGGCCAGCCACGUCCCACAUUUGCCCCAGUUCCCUCCACAGCCUUACAAGGUCAGCAUCCUGAUCCCCAGCUACAGACAGGGAGGCCAAGACCGCCAGGCUGGGCACUUUGGCCCAGGGGUCAAAGCUGGUGAACGUCAGGGCCAUCUGCAAACCCAAAUCCAACAACCACCAGAUUCUCUUACCCUCACCCCUUCUGAGAUCACCUACUUCACUUUGUUUCCCUUUCCUUUGUUUUUUUAGAAAGCAAUAACACGCGGAAAAAAGUACCACCUGGUCAUUUUGCAGAGAGACAGACAGAGGGCACCAGUGAGAUCACUCAAGGGCAGUCUAACCACUCAGGUCUCCUGGUUCCUGGUUCAGUGAUCUCAAAGCAUCGACCGUAUUGGUUCCUCCCACCCAGGACCAUGAGCCCUUUGGCCAUUCUUUGUUGGUUCCCACCUUGGCCCAGAGGAAAAAGGAAAAAGAGUUUGGGUCUCUUCCUCCUGCUACUGAGAGCCACAAUCUUGCAUAGAAGUUCUAUAGCUGGGGACAGUAACAUGCGCCUGUAGUCCCAGCUCUUGGGAGACUGAGGCAGGAGAAUCACUUAUGCCCAGGAGUUAGAAGCCAGCCUGGGCAUCAUAGCGAAACCCCAUCUCAAAAAUAAAUAAAAAGGGCUAGAAUGAACUCAGAGGUGGAAUGCACGCCUAGUACAUGUGAGGUCCUGGGUUCAAAUCCCAUUCACUCUCACACUCAAACACACACGGAGUUCUAAGCCAGUGAUUCUCAAGUGUCCUCUUGACCAACAGAAUUAAUGUUUGCUGGGGAUUUGUUAGAUUCAUCAGUUCUCAGGCCCCAUCUCAGACCUACUGAAUCAGAAACUUUGAGAGAUGAGCAAAAAUCUAUAUUUUAACAAUUCCUCCAGGGGAUUCUGAUGUAUACUCGAAUUUAAGUAUCACUGUUCUAGCCAGAUAUGGUGUCACAUGCCUAUAAUCCCAGCUAUUAGGGAGGCUGUGGCAGGAGGAUAUCAAGGUCAAGUCCAGCCCGCAGAAUUUAGCAAGAAUUUGUUUUAAAAAUAAACUUUAAAAAGCCCGGGGAUGUAUCCCAGUGGUAGGCCCAGCAUGCCUGAGGCCCUGGGUUCAAUCCCUAGUAUCAGGAGAAAAAAAAAAUAUUUUGAGCAAAUCCUUGAGAAUUUGGGCCAAAUUAAAGUGAGAACAAACCAGUUUGUGGCUGCUCCUAACUAAAGGCUGCUACCCUCUCUUCCAGCCCAGUCUCAAAGCCUGGGCUGCAGCCUUAUCUGAGCUCCAGGAGCCUGGGCAGAGCUCCAGGAGCAUCCAGAUGAGCAGAGAAAGAGCAUGCCACGUGGCCUUUCUCCACAUUUUCCUCCUCCUCCUCCUCCUCCUUCUCCUCCUCUUCUCCCCAGCCUCCCCUCUGCACAUUUUUGGCAAGUAGCUAAACGACUGUAUCUAGGAGACCCAGACAGGCUAAGCUAACCACAGUGACUUGUCAUAUAUUACAGAACAGCAGAUAUCCCGGGUCCAGCUGAACAUGAGAUCAGCUAGAAACAAUGCUGUUUGCGCCCUGUGUGUUAUCGUGUGGUGUGGUUGCUGCGUGUCGGGGGUGCAGGCAGAGGAGGUCUCCCUAUUCUUGUGAGGAGGGAAGGCAGAAAGGCCAGCUGUCCUUUCUGAGCUCUGGUCUGCUGCUUUCUCUCCUGAAACCGUGAAUUGCAACAUGGGCAUUCUUCUAACCAAAGUCAGGAGCAGGCAUUGGCUCUGGCCUCUGGGGCUGGGGAGAGGUAAUUCGGGUCAGAGUCCUCCACCACUUCCUGGGCCCUGGGAUGUGAUGGAAAUGCUCACAAAGCCUUUCUUCCCACCUUGGUGUCCCUAUCAGUGCUGUGGGUGGUAUCCUGCCACUAAAAGGGAGCAGGACUCCAUUCUGUUCCUUUCUCUAGAUCAGUUACAGUGCUUUGAGUUACAUAUAUAACCAAAAAUAAAUAGAUCAAUUAAAUAUGGUUUAUUAUCUCACAUAAAAAGGAAUUCCAAAACAAGCUAGCUCUGGAUCUGACUGAUCUGACAGGCCAACAGAAUCAGCCCCCAUUCCAGGACCUUCCUGUUUCCACUCUGCCGUGGUUGGUGUUUAAGUCUCAUCUUUGAGCUUGUCCUCUCUUAGUUGCAAAAUGACUGCCUUUGCUCCAGGUAUCACAUAUUCACCAGAUGCUUUGGUGACCAGAGGCAAUGGAAAAGGGAAUUCUUUCUUACUGCCCCUGUUUAUUUUAUUAUAUAGAUUUUCAAACAUACUUAAGAAGACAGAAUAUUAUGGAGACUCUACCUCCCCAACUUACCCAUCACCCAACUUUAGUCAUGAUCACACGGCCACUUUAUGUCAUCUUUAUUCCCUCUCUACAUACCCUAUGUUACGGCUUUGACCUAAAACACCCCCCAGAAGUCUCAUGUGCAGAGAUAGGACUUGGUCAGAGGGGGUGGGUCACUUGGGGCAUGACCUGGAACAGUGUAUUCUUAUCCUGUAUCUCACCUCUUACUCUCUGCUUCUGCUGCCAAGACAUGAGCAGCUUUUCUCCACCAAGCCCUUCUAUCAUGUUGUUGCUGCCUUGGAGCUGGCCAACCAUGAACUGAACCCACUAAAACUAUGAGCCAAAUGAGUCUCUCCUCCUUUAAGUUGUGGGUGUCUGGUAUUUUGUCCCAGUGACAAGAAAGCUGACCAAUAUCCCCUGAAUUUUCUCAAGGCAAAUCCCAGACAUCACCUCCCAUUUAGUAACAGUAGCUAACAGAUAAUGACUCUUCAAUAAAAGAUCAUAACUCAUAAUGUCUUUGUCACACUAAUGAUAUUAAAGUAAUGCCCUAAAAUUGUCUCACAUCUAAUCAUUGUUCACAUUUCCUCAACUGUCAUAAAAAAUUUUGUCUUA